CCCGAGAGCUCUCCCCUGCCGUGCCCGAAAGCCCGGAGCGCGUCUCCCCGCACGCCUCCAUCACCGGGCUUCCGCCCGCACAGCGCGGGAUGGAGGAGGCAUCGCGGAGCGCGCUACACCCAGCCAUGCUUUUCUGCUUUGAUUCUUUCGCUGCUUAUUUAUUUAUUUCGCGGAGGGAGGCAGCGAUGCCGAGAGAAGCCGGCUGAGAUUUGUGCCGUGCACGUUUUUUGCUGCAGCAGCAGCAGCAGCAGCAGCAGCGAGAGCCUCCAUCUUCCUCGCCGGAUUGAGCGGGGUCUCAGGACGACGCGCCUCCCUCCCCACCUCCGCUCCCCGCGUCCCCCGGCUGCGAGGCUCCGCUCCCGGCGCCGGCUGCGGGGCACGGCCGCCUGCCCUCUCCCCCCCUCGGCUCCCGCUCGGCUCGGGCUGCGUCGGGACGCGGGGACGACGGAUCCGCGCAGCCCGUCGCUUAUUUUCACCGAAACGACCGCAGCCAGCGAAACCCGACGCCAAACUUACGGACCUCCCGAGAGGCGCCGAGAGGCUUUCCGAGGGCAGAACCCCUCCGGGAUUCGCGGCACCCGGGGCGCGAAACGCGACCGCGCGCGGACCGCCCCCUCCACCCUCCCGGGCCCCGCCGACAAAAGACCCCGCGGGGGCUCCUCGGGCCCGGCCGCCAACAGGCGCGGCUCAGAAGCUGGAGCACUUCCACGGGAGACACAGACAGGAAAUGCCAGCGGCAGAGCAGGCAGCACAGGCUGGGGCUUCUGAAUCCUCCAGGAGUGCUUUAACCCGCCUGGACGGUGCACCUUACCAGGAAGCAUCGACCUCGCAGUUUCGUACGGUGCCCAUCCUGGAGGCAAGCUCUUGGAGGCGCAGAAGCAUUUUGUUUCUGGAUUCGCCUGCUGCUGUGCUAAGCUUUGUCAAGCAGGAGGCUUUCCCAGACAGGUACAGAGCAGAGCUGCUGGAGCCAGGGGUCUCACCGUCAAAGCCGAUGGGCCUGAGGACUCUGGGCAUCCCCAGAACUAGGCAUCAGCUGAGCAAGGGUUUGCAGGAUCGUACCUUGCUCUCAGGUAUCUAAAAUUCAUCUGAAUCCUGCUUCAGGAGAUCAAGAGCUUUACUCGACUCGUAUCUGGGAUUAAAUCCCCUGCCUGUCAAGUAGGAAUUACAAUAUCCCUUAUUGGCACUCUUAUUAAUUCAGACUGUAUGAUGUUUGGUGGGUUUGUUUGUUUGCUUUGGGGGGAGAAAUAAAGCCUCUUCUUUAUGUGCAUGUACACUGCCUUACAUGAUAGGACCCCAACUCUAUUUCAGGUGAUGAGAUGGCUCUCCUGUAAAGAGGCAGACAGUGGGACAGUCUAGCUUACAUACAUACCUGCUUCCUU
rnacentral:lncRNA from 1 species